UCUCAGUAUUCCCCGAGAUAGCAGAGCCCAUACAUGCACUGCUGGUUGCAAUCACCAGCCUCUGUGAGAAAUUGUUUGUCUUGGUCUUUGCAUCAGGUAAAUGCCCAACCCAAAAUCACUGAUAAGAGCAGACACCAAAAAAAAAAAAGAAAAAAAAGCCAAAACCAGCCCAGAGACAAGGUCUCCUUGGGCCCCCAAUCAGCAACAAAAAAGGCAGUAACCAGACAGCCAUUUAGUGAACAUCUCAAAGCUAUCUACCGUCUGCUGGAGGGGCUUUAAAGGCAUCAGAUUUGUGUGUUUGGCUCAAGCCAAGUGAAUUGUAGUCUAAAGCUUUUCCUUGAAUUCAAGGCUGUGUUUACUGCAGUCAGGGCGAGGGGAAGGAGGCAACCCCAAAGCCCUCCCUCCUCCUCUUCCCCCACCCUGCAAGCCCCAGGCUUGAAACUUGAUUUAAAAAAAAAAAUACAAGAUUGAAUUUCAGUUUGCAGGAUUAGGGAGAUGACUUUUAGGGGCUGCUUGUUGGAAAAAAAGGAAAGCAAAGCAGCUGGGAGGGAUUAGGCUGAGCUGGCGUCUGCACUUUCAACUGAUUCAAUUUUGCUCCACAAGACAUUGUAUCUGAGCCUUUCUGGAGACUAUUCAAAGCAAAUCAUUUUCAUUUUACCAUUUGGUGGUGUCGUGGGGAUCCCAAGGGAUGGGGAGUGAUGGGGGCACGGAGGUGCUUGGGGUGACCUGACCCUGCCACCCAGAGCACUUCAGCCGUGCUGCAAAAUAGAUGCAGCCCCAUUGUGAAGGGAAAAGUUCUGCUGCUAUUCCCAUUCCCAAGAUGAUGAGCCCCCAAAGAAACUAUGCUCCUUGGUAAAAUGGACUGCAAUGAGCCUGGGAUGUCAGGAUGCUCUCAGGAAUGACAGACAGCCUGGGGGCUGAGGACCUGACUCCAGAAAGUCUCCAUCCAGAUCACCAACCUGCACCCAGAGGCAGUAACCCCACGGUGAGCCAGGACCUGGCAUGGGCUCAGCCUGCCUGGGGAUAUCCCAGAGGAGAGCCUGCCACGCAGAGCAGCAGCUCCUCAGGCCAGCAGAAAUCCACAUGUCUGUUCAGAAGUGCCAGUUCCAGUGCAAAAUGGAAAACUGGACAGAAAAUAAGCCUCUGGAGCACAUCCCAUGCUGAGGGUGGUAAGCCACGAAACAUUCACUGCAGUUGCUUCUGUGCUGGUCUGAGCUGUUGUGCUGUUCCUCUCACCAUUGUCCCCAGCUGCAUUUUCCCCACAUGCUCUUUUAUACCCAUGAAUAUUUCAAUGACAGUCUCAAAGCACUGGCACUGAUCCUCUUCCUAUGUUAGCAUCAGUGCAGGAUAACCUCAUCAGCUGGAACAGGCCCUGGUGCAUGGUCAUGCAAGAGGGGCAGGAAUGGCAGGAUUCAGGUACUGAUCCCUUUUAUAACAGAAAACCCAUUUUCUGGACUUUUCCAAAUCUGCUUUUAACUGGACUCUCCACUUGUUGAACUAGGGGAGGUCCCACUCAGUUCAAACCCUUCCCUAAAAUAUUCCUUGAGAUGGCUCCAGGUAACACAACUUUAUGUAUCAGAGCAUGAUGCUACCUGUGAGUGUCAUAUCAAGCACAGCAUCCAUCUGAAGAUUACCUUUUGUGCAGAGUGAGACUGGACUCCACUCCAUUGCACGGUUUUGGAACAAACUUUGAGUCCUUUCUCAAGUGGAAAAUCUCUGUGGGAUGCAGUUAUCUUGCAGAAUAAAGGCUGUUCUCCCUGUCUGAUUCA
rnacentral:lncRNA from 1 species